ACCCUCUCAGGGUAGCACCUGGAGAGUUCCCAGUACUCUACCAGUUUCGACUAUGGGAGGUAGAGUCAAGCAGAGGCAUAUCCAUUCCAUUCCUAGCCUGGGCAAUGGCUAGAGAGUGGAAGGCAAUCUACUGCAAGU